rnacentral:rRNA from 1 species
UACGUAGGGGCGAGCGUUGUCCGGAUUUAUUGGGCGUAAAGAGCUCGUAGGCGGCUCGUUGCGUCGGCUGUGAAAACCCGCAGCUCAACUGUGGGCUUGCAGCCGAUACGGGCGGGCUUGAGUUCGGUAGGGGAGACUGGAAUUCCUGGUGUAGCGGUGAAAUGCGCAGAUAUCAGGAGGAACACCGGUGGCGAAGGCGGGUCUCUGGGCCGAAACUGACGCUGAGGAGCGAAAGCGUGGGGAGCGAACAGG